rnacentral:rRNA from 1 species
UACGGGGGGGGCAAGCGUUGUUCGGAAUUACUGGGCGUAAAGGGCUCGUAGGCGGCCAACUAAGUCAGACGUGAAAUCCCCAGGCUCAACCUGGGAACUGCGUCUGAUACUGGAUGGCUUGAAUUCGGGAGAGGGAUGCAGAAUUCCAGGUGUAGCGGUGAAAUGCGUAGAUAUCUGGAGGAAUACCGGUGGCGAAGGCGGCAUCCUGGACCGAGAUUGACACUGAGGAGCGAAAGCCAGGGGAGCAAACGGG